AAGCCAUGUUGUGGGCAUGAACUAAUAAUAUCCUUGAACCACUCCCAACAUUGGAAGAAUGUCUCAUCUUCUCUUUGGGCGAAGUUCAUGAUCAACUUCUUGAUGGU